rnacentral:rRNA from 1 species
GAUUAACGCUAGCGGCAGGCCUAAUACAUGCAAGUCGAACGGUAAAUAGUGUAGCAAUACAUUAUGAGAGUGGCGCACGGGUGAGUAACGCGUAUGCAACCUACCUUUAACUGGGGGAUAGCCUUCCGAAAGGAAGAUUAAUACCGCAUAAAAUUAUGAAGUGGCAUCACUUUAUAAUCAAACUACCGGUGGUUAAAGAUGGGCAUGCGUGACAUUAGCUAGUUGG